UUUAUUUUUUAAGAUUCAGUGUUGUUCAGUGAAAAACCUACAGAGUCUGGAGCCAGCUGCCAGGGUUGAAUCCAACUCUGCACUUAACGAGCUGAGCGCCUUGGGCAAGUUACUUCACCUCUCUGUGGCCCCUAGUUUCCUCAUCUGUUAAAUGGGGAUGAUGAUGGUCCCUGCCUCUCAGGAAGGGGUACUGCCAGGGGUAUUGUUUCAAAACCUCCACAAAUACUCCGUGAAGGCUCAUGGAUCCUGUGAGAAAAGAAUUAUUAUUGCCAUCAAGGCUGUGUUCCAGCUGAGGAAACCUGGGCCUGGUUUCUUACUGGAGAAAUUUAGCAACGUCACGUAGCUGGUAAGUGCCAGAGCCUGAGUUUAAACCCACGGAAGCUAGGAAAAAGAAAAAGGAGGAGAAGGAGAAAAAGAAAAACCCACGGAAGCUGGCUCCGGAGGUCAUGCCCUUUGCCACGGCAUUAUUCUUCGCAGGCAGCACUCCCGUGAGCAUUCGGCUUCCAGAAUAAGCCUUUGCCAUUUUUAUUCCCAAUUCGGGGACAGAUGGUGGCACCAGACCCAGGAGGGCAGAGCCUCUGAGCUCGGCAGCAAACAGUGCCCCCAGGCCAAAGCGACAAGGCCACAGCUCUCCCUGGGCAAACCCGGUUAAGCAGACGUAGGAUGGUUUCCUUCCAAGAACGUCUCUCCCAUCCAUGUCCUUGUCAGUUUUCCCAUCAGGAAAAUGGGCAUGUGUAAUGCACCCGUGGCAGUAGCCACAAGAACUAAUUAGCGCCUGAAAUGUGUGUCAAGAUCCCCGGCGAGAGGUGCUGUAUUAGGGGCAAAGGAUUCUCGCAUGAGUUCCAGUUUUGCCUCCUGUGGCCCGGUCCUCCCUGGGCGGGAGGUGGUGCCCCGUCUUGUUGAGAUCUGAUCUCUAAAUGCAACUGUGUGUUUUCUUUCAUCCAAAUGACUGUGCUCAUCUCGGGAGCAGCCUUUAAUUUUCUUCUUGGAACCGAGGACCAUCCUUACUUACAGCAACAAAAGGUCCCUGGGACGGUGAGGGCCUCCGUGCUACAUUCCAAGUGACAUGUCCACAUUCGCCACGGACAAGAAUGACAGAUGGGGAAAAAUCAUCUUUGACCCUUGAAAGUCGGUCAUGUUUUAUGAGGUAAGAGCUUGGGCACAGAAGGUAUCGUAGGAGGGAGCCCAGGGAUGGCUUGAAAUAUGGAAGUUACGCAUGUUUUAGCUUUUGGACAUAAAAGUCCCCUUCCCAAACUACCGGCGUAUCCAAGCAAUGAAAACGGCGUUUAAAAGUUUAAUUUCUCUUUUGCGUUGAGGCAUAACUUACACCGACCAAAAGGCACAGAUCUGAAGCAUACACCGUGGUGACUUUUUAAUUUUCACGCAUGCACGUGCCCCCCAGUGCCACCACGGAGGCCGAGGGUUUAGGACCUUCCCAGCUCUCCAGAAGGUUCCCUUGUACCCCUCCCUGUCACCAGCCCCCCCGUGAAGGUCCCCCCUGUUCCAGUCUCUCUGUCACCACGGAGUAGUGAAAAGGGCCCUUUUCUUUUCGGGGUCUUGCCGCUUAACAAACAUCUCAGCACACACAAAUGACAGCAGUUUUGUAAAUUGCCACAAAGGUGCCCGGGAGGGCCAAGUCGAGGCUCAGAUCAAAGGAUUUUUGUGCCGCCCGUGUGUCACCGCACACAGGGGUCCUCCUGGACCCGAUGUUCCACGAUGGAGGAGGAAGUGCUCCCGGAGGAAAACUUGGUCUUUGGCCCUGGGGGAGAAUUCGCGGUUUGCUCUCGUUUCAGAAAAAACCAAGGGGAUCUUGCAGCUAAGCUCCUGCCCUUGCGAAUGUAGAGCCACACGCCACACACGUUCUCCCCUCUGCGAGGGACAGCCAGGCCGCAGGCCCAGAGCCCCGGCUCUCUUCCUCGCUGGGCCUCUCCUGGGCCUUGCUCCCGUCCAGGAAUGAGGCCCUCGUUGUAGCUUGCUCCUCUCCAGAGAAAACGCU